CAUCUACUCCCUCUGUCCGGAAAUACUUGUCAUUGAAAUGGAUGUAUCUAGAUGUAUUUUAGUUCUAGAUUCAUCCAUUUUGAUGACAAGUAAUUCCGGACGGAGGGAGUAUGUA
rnacentral:pre_miRNA from 1 species